GGUGGCUCAGUGGUAGAGUACCUGCCUUGCAUGUAUGAAGCCCUGGGUUCGAUUCCUCAGCACCA
rnacentral:tRNA from 1 species